rnacentral:rRNA from 1 species
UGGGGAAUAUUGGGCAAUGGGCGAAAGCCUGACCCAGCAACGCCGCGUGGAGGAAGAAGGUUUUCGGAUCGUAAACUCCUGUCCUAAGAGACGAGGAAGAGACGGUAUCUUAGGAGGAAGCCCCGGCUAACUACGUGCCAGCAGCCGCGGUAAUACGUAGGGGGCGAAGCGUUGUCCGGAAUGAUUGGGCGUAAAGGGCGCGUAGGCGGCCCGGUAAGUCUGGAGUGAAAGUCCUGGCUUUAAGUUGGGAAUUGCUUUGGAUACUGUCGGGCUUGAGUGCAGGAGAGGUUAGUGGAAUUCCCAGUGUAGCGGUGAAAUGCGUAGAGAUUGGGAGGAACACCAGUGGCGAAGGCGACUAACUGGACUGUAACUGACGCUGAGGCGCGAAAGUGUGGGGAGCAAACAGGAUUAGAUACCC